GUUGUAGUCCAGCACGAACCAGCGGUACUGCCAGCCCUUCAUCACAUUGGUCCAUUUGCUCAGCGGGCCCUCCAUGAUAGACGCCAUCUUAGCACCGGACCGGCACCGCCGCGCACGCCGCGCGUUCGGGAAAUGUUCCUUCCAUUUUAUUUUUUACGGGUAACAAAUGCAGUAAUAAACUACAAUCAAGUAGAAGAUGGAGCAUUCUGUGUCAUCCUCAGUCUCCAGCUCUGGCCUUUACAGAAUUAUGUUUGGUUUAGGGGAUUACAGAGAGAAAGAUAGAUGGGAGAGAAUCACCUUCACCCUACAAGCAGUCAUUCUUCAAAGAGGACAAUUAAAUCAAGCAUGACAGUAAGU